rnacentral:rRNA from 1 species
UACGGAGGAUGCAAGCGUUAUCCGGAAUGAUUGGGCGUAAAGCGUCCGCAGGUGGCAAUGUAAGUCUGCUGUCAAAGCGUCUGGCUCAACCAGAUAAAGGCAGUGGAAACUACAUAGCUAGAGUAAGGUAGGGGUAGAGGGAAUUCCUGGUGUAGCGGUGAAAUGCGUAGAUAUCAAGAGGAACACCUGCGGCGAAGGCGGGUUGCUGGGCCGACACUGACGCUGAGGCGCGAAAGCUAGGGGAGCGAACGGG